rnacentral:lncRNA from 1 species
GGAUUUUCAAAAGUAAAAUCAAUCAACAAAAGUCAUUAUAGUCAAUACAAACUAAAGUAUUUAUAUGACUCUAUUACAAUAACUAAUCCUCACAACUAACUAUUGUAUUAAGAGUCACUAAUACACCUCUAAUGAUAAUUAGUGUAAGUUUGAUAAUGAGCAUAUUUGUGUCUUAACACCCCUCCUCAAAUCAUGCUUAUUAUCAUCUUACUGGGGUAUAUGAAAUAAAUUGUUGAAAUAUCCUAUUGAGAACUUGUGAUGCAAAGACUUGAAAAUUUAAGUUCCAAUGUUGAUGAAUUGUAAAAAGAUGGGAUUAAAAAUCCAGUGGUUGGUUGUUCUAGGAAAACCCUCUCUUCAAUUAAUACAUUGAUUCAUCACUCAAUGAAAACUUAUCCUUCAUCAUUUCAUGCCAAGUUCUGGAUUUUGCUUGAGCUAAUCAUAAUCUGAAAAAAACAAGCAUAGUGCAGUAUCAAAGAACAAUCGAUAUUAUUUAUCAACAAAACCAAUCUAUAUAUUCUGAAACUUUUCUUAUUAUCUGAAAUUGAUCGUAAUGUAGAAAUAAGAAAAUCUGAUAUAAUUCAGCAAACAGUAGAGCAGAAUUAUGAGACAAAGUGAAAAAGAAAUAACAAAAAUAACAAACAUUCAUAUCUCAUUCCAAUUGUUAAUUUUAAAAAUGACACACAUUGUUAAUUUUAGUAAACUCUAUCUCACACAUCUUAUCUGUGUAUUACCUAACCUUGUACAAAUUCUACACUAGUAUAGGCAGAAGCUGAGCAUUGAAGAACUUCUGCAAUUUAGAAGGAAGAAACAUGACUAACACCUAUAAACUAAAAUUAAUCUUGAGUUUUUUACCUAAUCUUACAUAAAUGUUAGAAGUCACAACUUUGGUAAACAAAUCAGCCAACUGAAAUGAGAAACAUAUAUGUUUUAACUGAAGUUGGUUCUUAGUGAUCAAUUCUCUAACAAAGUGUAUUUCAGUUUCAAUAUGUUGACCUCUGUUUGAUCACCGGAUGAUUUUCCAUAAACAUGGCUGAAAUAUUAUCACAUAAUAUCAAAGGAACAUGAUCUAUUUGAUACCUUAAAUUUCUACAUAUAAAUGUAGACCAUCUGAUCUCAGUAGCUAGUGAAGCCAGAGCGCUCUAUACUCUGAUUCAAUGCUUGAUCUAGAAACUAUAGAUUGUUUCUUUGAUGACCAAGUGUAUAGGUUUCCACCUAUGUAUAGGCACAAUCCAGUUGUGGAUUUCCUUGUGUCUGGAUCACCUGCAUCACAAUAUCUAUGAAUUUUAUUAAAAUUCAAAUUUUUAGUGAAUAUUAGACCAUGGCUCAAAGUUUCCUUGAUGUAUUUAAGAAUUCUCUCGGCUGCAAUAAAAUGAGAAGACCUAGGUUCUUGCACAAACUGUGCAACCUGGUUUAUUGCAUAUACCAAGUCUGGUCUCAUUUGAGCUAAGUAUUGUAGAGAACCAACUAAUGCCCUGUAAAACAUUACAUCUUGCAAAAGUACUCCUUCAUUUUUGAUUAGUUUAGAGUCUGGACUAAUGAGAGUUCUACUGGGCUUUCACUGUAACAUAUUAUUUUUACUUUAACAUAUCCAGAGCAUAUCUGCGUUGACUCAUGCUAAUUGAACCAUCAAAAUUAUCCAUUAAUCUUCAAGUCUGAUUUUUUCAAUUGCUUUAUAAAUUUUAAUAGUUUGAUAAUGAAUAAAUUCAAUUGCAAAAUGAAAUGUUUUCAAAGUGAUAAUGAAACUGAGUUUAUAAACAAAAAUAUUUCUGAUUUUCUUAACAAAAAUGGAAUUAUAUAUAAUCUGUCUUGUCCAUACACCCCUCAGCAGAUGGGCAUUGCUGAACGAAGGAAUAUUAGACAUAUUAUAGAAUAAGGUCUUUCUACAAUGCAACAAUCAAAAGUGCCAUAAAUUUUUUGGGUUGAGGCAUUUAAUCACUCAAUAAAUAUAAUAAAUAACUUGUCAUCUAACUCCACAUGAAUGCUUGUAUAAUAAAACAAUAGAUUUUAACAUGUUAAAAAAAUUUGGAUGUCUUUGCUACCCUAAUCUUAGGUGUACGUAUUGCAAAACAUAAGUUAGAACCAAGGUCACUUCCUUGUAUUUUCCUAGGACUUAGCAAGAAAUAUAAAGGUUUUAAAUACUAUCAUGUUAGUACUGGAAAGACCUUAUCAUUUUUAAUAAGAAUUGCUUUCUAUAUAAAGAUGUUGUCCCUAAUGGUAUUAUUUUAGGAGAAUUAACCACAUUUACUGACUGGUUUAAUCAUAGUAAAAAUAAUAAAAUAAGUACUGAUAUAAAUACAGAAAAAUGUAAAACAGAGGUAGAAGAAGAAAAUAUUUUUAAUGAAGAUUGUAUUUUAAUUAUAAGCUCAAGAGAACAUGUCUAUACUGAUAUUGUAUCAGAAACAGAAAAUAUAAUUUCUGAUACAUCUGGCUCAGGAAAUCAGUCUAUUGAGACAUACAUAAUAAUCAAGAUAUAGGAAUCUUAGAGAAUAAUGAAAAUAAUAAUGUGCUUGAAAAUAUUUCAUCUGAUAUAGAACAAAAUGAGGAUAUUAGUGUAAAAAACAACGGAACUAGUAUAAUUGAGAGCACUUCUUAUGAUAAAGUAUAUUCAACAUCUUCAACAGAAAAUAUCAAUCCUAGUAGUAGGUAUUGAAAAUGGUCAUAAAAUGGUGACUAGAAGGAAGAUAGGAACAUUUAAGCUCAACACUAAGUAUGCUCUGAGUAUAAAUAAACUUUCAGAAAUACCUAAAACUGUAAAAUCUGCAAUUAAAGAUGAAAAUUGGGUAAAAGAAAUACAAAGUGAAGUAGACUCUCUAGAAGAGAAUAGGACAUGGUCUCUUGUACCAAGACCAAAAAAAUGAAAAUAUUAUAGGUUGCAAGUGGGUAUUUAACAAUCCUAACCAUAACCCUAAAUAUAUUUCACAAUCCUACUUUAUAUAGAUGUUUAGUAGGGAAACUACAAUACUUAACUCUAACAAGGCCUGAUAUCACCUUUCCAGUAAAUGUGGCAUCUAACUUUAUGACCACACCUACUGAGGAGUGGUGGGGCCACUUUGUUGUUUGACGUGAGUGGUGGGGGCAUCUCAACAUCUUGUGCUUCCAGUGGUGUUUCAGUGGAUGGUGUAGUACUGGGACCAAUUCUCAUGCCAACAGUUGCUGUCUCAAUGACGGUGGCAACAAAAGCCACAACUUUCUUACUUUUCGUAACAAGAGCCAUGGAAACCGAACUAGUCGAAUAUGAUUCGACCGUAUUGAGCGAAUAGUAUGAAUCUAUGGCUUCACGAAGAAACCGACGAUUGCACAAAGUGAUUUAACGAAGUCAGCAAAAAACCAAGCAAAAAAUCGGUCAGAGCCUACAACGGUUUAGCAGGGAAUUUUGGUAGAAUUUAGCAGUCAACACCUACAACGAUAGAUAACUUCUGAAAAAUUGGCGAUUUUGAAAAAAAAAUCGACGAUCUUAAAAGGAAAGUGACGAGUCUGAUUUCCCCAGAGACGGCACGAUUUGAUGAGGACCGAAUAAUCGUACCAACACUCGCGGUGGUGUGAGCAAUCGUCUUUUCGUACCGGAGGCUCUAAACUCUACAAAAUUAAAGCCGCUCUAUGUCAAGUCUUCAGGGGAUUUGGGUAUCAAAUCGACGAUUUACUCCGUAAAAGUCACUCUGGAAAGUGUGGAACUGAUGCCUUAGAUAUUCUCUGGGAGUCUCCUUUUAAGGAGACUCGGGAGGCGUCAUCUGCGGCGAAGAUCACACCCAGGUCAUAGUGACAACCAUUAUGAUCGACGUCCAGGUUGGAUGCAAAUAACGCUCCAAAAUCGGUGAUUUGGCGUCAAAUCGGCGAGUUGAGGGAGAAAUCGCCAAGUUCCCAGACUCCAGCGAUCUUCUCUCAAAAUCGGCAAUUUACCUGAUCCAAUCGGUAUUCGAGAUGUUGACUUGGGUCUCGACGAAAACUUUCAGUUCCGCUUCCAUGGGGACCUUUCAAGGGUCCAACAUAAAGUGAAUGGAACCUUAGUUCAUGUUGAUGAGAAGGAUCGGUGUACAAUCCUGUAUCAUCAAUGUUUCCCCCGAAAUAGAGGCAUGUGAGAGGACGUGUACCGCCAGGUUAGGACACUUACGACAAAAUUAGUCAAACACUAAGAUUUAGGAUUAUAGUUAUGGUUAUGGUUAUUAGAGUUAGGGUUAUUAGAGUUAGGUCUAUUAGUGUUAGGGUUAUUAGAGUUAGGGCUAUUAGUGGUAGGGUUAUUAGGAUUAUGGUUAGUGUUAUUAGAACUAUGGUUAGAGUUAAGUUUAUUGUUAUUGGGGUUAGGAUUAGUGUUACUAGAGUUAUAUUUAGAGUUAAGGGGUUAGUGUUAUAAAAGUUAGGGUUAUUAGAGUUAUGGUUAGUGUUAUUAGAGUUAUGGUUAGUUAUAUUAGAGUUAGGGCUGUUAGUGUUAUGGUUAUGGUUAGUGUUAUUAGAGUUAUGGUUAUAAGAGUUAAGGUUAUUAUUAUUAGGGUUAGGGUUAGUAUUAUUAGAGUUAGAGUUGUUAGUGUUAGGAUUAUUAGGGUUAUGGUUAGUGUUAUUAGAGUUAUGGUUAUAAGAGUUAAGUUUAUUGUUAUUGUUAUUGGGGUUAGGAUUAGUGUUAUUAGAGUGAUAGAGUUAAGGUUAUUGUUAGUGUUAUUGGGGUUAGGGUUAUUAGAGUUAUGGUUAGUGUUAUUAGUGUUAGGGAUGUUAGUGUUAGAGUUAUUAGGGUUAUGUUUAGUGUUAUUUGAGUUAUGGUUAUAAGAGUUAAGGUUAUUGUUAUUAGGGUUAGGGUUAGCUAAAGAUAGAUUAUUAGGGUUAAGAUUUUUUUUCUCAAAUAUUUUGGUUAACGAUGCUUUGAUGAGAUAUAUCUUGCAUAUGGAAAAUAGAUAAGUACUAAGCUGAAAAUAAAAGAUAGAAAAUAGAAAUAAAAUUAGAAUAACAGUAAAUCUAACAAAAAUAUGAAACAAUAAAUAUACAAAUUUAAAAUAGAAUAACUAAAUAUAACAAAUUAGAUUUUCAAAAAGUAAAUAGUCCUAACCGACUAACCCUAACAAAUUGUAUUUAUAUUAUAGGGUUCUUGUUAAUUUGCGAACCGGGCUAUCAGGCCUAAUUGGUUCUCAAUCUAGUUUAUUUGGGCCUAGGUACCAUUAGUUAUUCUUUCACAGAAUACAUUUCAAUUAAGGUUCAAUUAGCAGAUAUAUUUACAAAACCUUUAGACACUGAAGGAUUUUGCAAAAUACAAAGAUUAUUAGAAAUUUUCGAUUCACUAAUCUUUGACCACGGUAUUUUAAGUUACAUACAUAUAUUGGUAUUAAAGUUAGUGUUAUUAUGGUUAGGGUUAAGGUUAUUGUCAGUGUUAUUAGAAAUAGGGUUAUGAUUAUUAGGGUUAAGAUUUUUCUUAUUUUUCUCAAAUAUUUUGGUUGAUUCUUUGAUAAGAUAGAUCUUUCAUGUGGAAAAUAGAUAAACAUUAAAUAUGUAUUUCGGAUGGAUUUGGCUCGGAUACCCUGGUAUCCGAAUUCGGAUAAUAUCCGAAUAAUCCGAAUUCGUCUAAAUAAUAUCCAGAUAGGAAAAUCCAAAUCCAAAUUCGGAUAAAUUUCUGGAUAUCUGAAAAAUCCAAAUCCAAAUAACUUUUUAUGAAAAACCUUAAAAUAUCUUAAAAUAAAACUACAUGAUGGUUUGGUAUCAAAUAAAUACAAGACAAUCUCUCUCUAUUAUAGUAUCUCUCCUAUUACAAAUGUCUCUCCCUUUUUAUGUUCAACCCGUAGGGAUAUUUAUACACAUUCCUACUAAGUUGGGCCUUCUUUUUUCUCUUUGGACCUGAUCCAACGGGUCUGACCCAUCGGGGCAAAUGGGUCUGCACGGCCCGUUAAGUGAAGUGGGCUUGCUGGUCUUUGUCUGGGGUGGGUCUAGUCUGAUGGACCAGGGGUAUCAUCAGUAUCAAAGUAUAAUAUCACCGGCCCUUAAUAAAGUAUAAUCGUCAAUUAAUCACCGUAAAAUUCGGAUAAUUCGAAAGUCAGUUUAUAUUUAUUCAGAUAUCCGUAUUUAAAAUUAUCAACCGAAUUCGAAUCUUAACGGAAGAUAUUGUAGAUAUCCAAAUAUGUUCGGAUAAUUUUCAGAUAUCAUUUUUGGUAUCAGAAUCUGGAUUUGAAAUCCGAAAAUCCGAAUAGACAUAUUCGAAUUCGAAAACGGAUAAAAAUAUAGAAAUAUGACUAUUUACGGGCCUAAUACGUACUAAGUCGGAAAUAAAAUAUAGAAAAUAACAAAUAAAAAUAGAACAACCGUAAAUCUAAACAAAAAUUUGAAACAAUAAAUAUAGAAAUUUAAAGUAUAUCACAAUGUAAAUAUGACUAAGUAGAUUUUCAAAAAGUAAAUAGACAAUCAACAAUUUAAAAACAAGGAAAUUAUAUAUAGAUUUAAAAUAUAUUUAACCAGUAAAUAGAUAACAACAAGGAGAAUAAAUUUAAAAUAGUAAACAGUAAGGAGAAGAAAACGAAAAUAGAAAAAGAAGAGAAAAUAGAUGAACAUAAAAAGAAAAAGAAGAUAAAAAUAGACGAACAAUAUAAGAACAAGAAAAAAAACUGGUCAUCCUUACCUUAGAUAACGGCGACGGCGGGCGAUUUGAGGGCAACUAAGACGAUAUUUUUCGAAACCCACCCUGAAAACAUGAAUUUCAUCCUGUCGAUAAAACCCCUAAAUUUUCGUGGCGAAAAUCCAUCACUAAAGAUGCAUCAGGUAGUGGUGGGCAUUCGUGUCAAAUACAACACGACACGAAAAGAUUCACAAUAGCGUUAGCCAAAGGCUAUCAAAUUUUUUUGAAUGAACUAAAGAUCAAUAUUCGUCUAUUUAUAAUACAACUUCAAAUCUAAAUUUUGAAUCUUUUCAAUGUGGGACUAUAUUUUAAUGGGGGAAAUAGCAAAUAUGGUCGAGCCUCAAUGAGGUCGCAUCCAACCAUUAAAUUUAGACAUUUGAAAAAAUUAAUAUACAACAUAACAUAUACAAAUAUAAAAAAUAUAUAUUUAGAUAUUUUUAUUUCUGUUCAGAAUUAUUUUAUCACACAUGUCGUUGGAAAGCUUUUGACGUCGGCCACACGAAUAUAAUUUAUUAUUAUUAUUAUUAUCGAAUCAAUCGUAAAUUUAUUCUGUAAGCUUUCCGUUUUAUUUUAAUUCGAAUUAGUUUGAUUGUUAAAUUAUUAAUUUGAUUGUUAAAUUUUCAUUUUGUUAAAAUUUGACAUCUCAAAUCAAAUAAAUAAGGAUAUUUAAAUUAUAUUAAAUACAUCUCAAAUCAAAUAAAUAAGAACAUUUAAAUUAUAUUAAAUGAGAAUAUUUCAAAUUAUGGAGGGUGAAUCAUGGAGCAAUCAUCGAUUUAAUAUGCAAAUCAUCGAUUCUCUCAUGCCGUACGAUUAUUCGGUUCGAUGAAAUGUGCACUAGGUAUUGGGAUUACCUUACCAUUUCAUUCUAGAAAUGUACAUAUCCAGAUUGAAGGAGGAGAUUCAAGCUGAUGUGAUCUUAGCAAAGCCUGGGGACAUAUAUGAAGCAUUUGAAAUGUCUCUAAUGAUUGAGGCAAGGCAGGGAGGUGGAAAAACUAUCACAUACAAAUCCUAUACUCAAAAAUAGGCCAAGGUAACUAAUUAUUUUGCUCCACAGCAAAAUAAAUCCGAAAUUGACACUGGGAAACAGAGCACUUCAACCACAACAAAAUUACCAGUAACUAAAAGGCUAUCGACUACUGAAAGGGCAGAGAGAAGAGAAAAGGGACUUUGCUUCAACUGCGAUGAAAAAAUUUCAGCAAACCACAAUAGUGUUUAUGCAGGCAGAAAAGGAAAAUUAUUCAGAUUAGAUAUGCUGAACAGAUAGAAUUGUUUGAAAUAGAAGACCAAGAUGAUAUUGAAAAGCCAGAAGAGGAAGUUGUCAAUGAUAAUGUCAUUAGAGGAAGAACUGAAAUUUCAUUACAUGCCUUUGAGGGCAAUAUAAAUUUCACAGUACUAUCAGGGUGAUGGGAUGCAUAAAAAAUGAGUCAGUGAGUGUACUUAUCGAUUCUGGUUCCAGCCAUAAUUUCAUGCAGGUUGAUGUUGUUGUGGCACUGAAAUUGAUAAUUCAGAUGAUCAAUUCAUUCUAUGUUUCAACAAGAAGUGGGGAGAAGCUGGUCUGCAAUAAGAUGUGCAAGGAUACAGAGGUAAAAAUCCAAGAUAAUACAAUUAAAAUGGAUAUCUUUCUCAUUCAUAUGGCAGGGUCCAACAUGGUGAUUGGAGUGCAAGCAUUAAAGGCUUUUGGACCUGCAACCUUUGAUUUUGAGAAAUCUAUCAUUGAAUUCUGCCUAGAAGGAAAUAAAGUAAUACGGUCGGGAUUACCAUGGGUUUCUGAGGAUCCACUUACUGUUGGACAGCUCAAGUGUUUAAUUGCAACUACUCAAGAAGCUUACUUAUUCUAUUUAGAAAGAAUAGACAACAGUGAUCCAAUUGAAGUUUUAGAUAAUAAAAUUCCUGAAAUUACUAAUGUCAUUUAGGAAUUCUGUGAUUUGUUUGAAGAUCUAUAUGGUCUACCACCAGAGAGGGAAAAAAAUCAUCCCAUUUACUUGCCAACCAGGAGCUCAACCUGUAAAUGUUAGACCCUACAGAUACCCACAAUUUCAGAAAUAUGAAAUCGAGAAGUUAAUUGCUGAAAUGUUAAAACAGGGCAUCAUCAAACAUAGUUCAAGCCCAUAUUCUUCUCCAGUUCUACUAGUGAAGAAAAAGGAUGGAGGAUACAGGUUGUUUGUCGAUUAUAGAGCCAUAAAUGCUCUAACAGUAAAGGACAAGUACCCAAUACCCACUGUUGAUGAAUUACUUGGGGAAUUGAAAGGGUCAUCUAUUUACUCAAAAUUAGACUUGAGAUCAGGAUUCUACCAUAUCAGGAUGGACCCCAAUCAUACUGAGAGGAUAGACUUUAGAACUCAUCAAGGGCACUUUGAGUUCCUUGUGAUGCCUUUUGGCCUCACAAAUGCCCCAACCACCUUUCAGUCAGUUAUGAAUUCAAUCUUCUCAGAUUAUUUAAGGAAAUUGGUAAUUGUUUUCUUUGAUGACAUAUUAGUUUACAGUGCUACUACAAAGGAUCACAUUGAGCAUCUGAAAAUUAUCUUUGAGCUGUUGAGAUCAAAUAAAUUAAUUGUCAAGUUAUCUAAAUGUUCCUUUGGAAGGGAUUCUAUGUCUUUCCUUGGGCACAUUAUAGCUGUGGAUGGAGUCCAUCCUGAUCUAGAAAAGAUUAAAGCCAUGGUAGAUUGGCCUAAACCCAAAAAUCUGAAAAUGCUAAGGGUUUUUUUGGGACUCACGGGGUACUAUAGAAGAUUCAUCAAAGGAUAUGCAACUAUAGCAAUACCUAUGACAGACCUCUUAAAAAUGGAUAAUUUCCAUUGGGGAGAAGAGGCUACACAAAGCUUUGAAAAUCUCAAAUCUUCCAUGACUACAACUCCUGUCCUUGUAUUUCCAGACUUUGAACUUUAGUUUACAGAAGAAACAAAUGCUUGCAGAAAUGGCAUUGGGGCUGUACUUAGCCAAAAUGCACACCCUAUUAGUUUUUUCAGUGUUAAAUUAUCUGGUAGGAUCAAGGCAGCUUCUGUUUAUAUUAAAGAAAUGUAUGUCAUUACUCAAGCUGUGAGUAAAUGGAAACAUUACUUAUUGGGAUCUCAUUUUAUCAUUAAGACAGAUCACAGGAAUCUGAAAAUUUUAUUAACUCAAGUGAUUCAAACUCAUGAACAACAAGUUUUCCUAUGCAAAUUAUUGGGUUUUGAUUUUUCUAUAGUUUAUAAACUUGGAAAGGAAAAUUUAGCAGCAGAUGCACUAUCAAGAAAGUUUGAAGAAGAAAAAGAAGAAGUGUUGUUUUCAUUAGACUCAACAGGACUGCCUGGCUCACUUCUAUCACUAUCUAAGCCUAUAUAUACUCUGCUGGAGGAAAUAAAAAUAGAAAAUCUUAAUAAUCUCAAUACUCGGGCACUGAUAGAGAAAUAUGUUGAAGUGGGAGAAGGUUCUAUGGGAUUUAGAGUGAAAAAUAACAUGAUGAUUUUCAAAGACAAAUAUUAUAUCUGAAGAUUCUAUUUUGAUAAAAAAAAAAUUUACAAGAAUUUCAUGAUUCUCAGUUAGGAGGUCACUCUGGGGUACACAGAACUUGGAAAAAACUGGCAAAAUAUUUUUAUUGGCCGAAGAUGGUAGUCCAUGUUAAAAAAUAUGUCAAAGAAUGCACUAUUUGCCAACAAGUUAAACCUUCUAACACAAAACCUGUAGGAUUACUAAUGCCACUGCCCAUCCCUUCACAAGUAUGGUAGGAUAUCAGCAUGGAUUUCAUCACUGACCUUCCAAAAGUUAGAGGGAAAUCUAUAGUUAUGGUGGUUGUAGACAUAUUAUCAAAGUAUGCUCAUUUUAGUGCACUCUCACCUAAAUUUAAUGCUUCUAUGGUGGCUGAAAUAUUUACACAGGAUAUGGUUAAAUUGCAUGGGAUUCUAAGCUCCAUUGUAUCAGACAGGGAUAGGGUUUUCACAUCUAUGUUCUGGAAGGAAUUAAAUACACUCAGUGGCACUAAGCUAAAUUUUUCUUCCGCAUAUCACCCACAAAGAUGGGCAAACCGAAGUGGUGAACAGAACAUUAGAAAUGUAUUUAAGGCCAUAUUAUCAUGAGAAUCCAUCUAAGUGGCUAAAACUAUUGCCAUGCGCUGAGUUAUGGUACAACUCCACCAGUUACCAUUCUUCUAUUGGUACGAGCCCAUUCAAGGUGUUAUAUGGAAGAGAGGCUACUGAAAUCCCUCAUUAUGAGGAAGGACAAUCAUCUAUUCAAGUUGUUGAUAUCACCUUACAAAUGAGAGAAGAAGUUCUAGAUAGAAUUAAAACAAACCUCAGGGUGGCACAGGAGAGAAUGAAACACCAAGCUGACAAGAAGAGAUCAGAACUGAAAUUUCAGGUAGGAGAGUGGGUAUUAGUGCAGCUCAAACCCUACAGACAAAUAUCAAUCGCUCACAGACUACAUAACAAAUUUUGAAAAAAGUAUUUUGGGCCAUUUGAGAUAAUUAAGGUGAUAAAUGAGGUAGCUUACCGCUUAAAAUUACCUGAAGGCAGUAAGAUCCAUCCCACAUUUCAUGUAUCAAAAUUGAAGAAAUAUUGGGGAUCAAUUCAUGAAGACAAGUUAGAGGAACAACCUAUCAUUUCUGUGGAAAAUAAGCCAAUAUUAUACCCUACUGCAUUACUAGGUAAAAGAACUAUUUUUCAGGGAGGAAAACAGAAAAAAAAAAAAAACAAAUCCUGGUAUCCUGGAACGGAUCAAUACCUGAAGACGCCUCAUGGGAGUUGGAAGACGAGUUGCUGAAGAUCUUCCCUAAUAUCAACAUUGAGGGCAAUGUUGAAUCCAGAGAAGGUGGUGAUGAUGCGUGGGUGAUCCACUACAAAGACAUACAUGGUGACAUCCAGAAGAUUUGAGACGACACGACUUCAGAAGGUGACCUAGAAGUGGAAGUUGAGGAAGACGACGACGGCUCACCACAACUCAACGAGACUGAACCGCCCACGAACCCAAGGGAGAAGAGGCAAACCCGGCCCCCAGCCUAG